rnacentral:rRNA from 1 species
UACCAGCACCCCGAGUGGUCGGGACGAUUAUUGGGCCUAAAGCAUCCGUAGCCGGUCCUACAAGUCUUCCGUUUAAAUCCACCUGCUCAACAGAUGGGCUGCGGAGAUACUAUAGGGCUAGGAGGCGGGAGAGGCAAGCGGUACUCGAGUGGGUAGGGGUAAAAUCCUCUGAUCCAUUGAAGACCACCAGUGGCGAAGGCGGCUUGCCAGAACGCGCUCGACGGUGAGGGAUGAAAGCUGGGGGAGCAAACCGG